GAAGGGGGCGGGCAGAGGUCCUCUGCUCCCGGGCCCGGCGGGAACAAACUGCCGCGGUGGCGGGAGCUAAGCUCGCUUGGCUGGAGGCGGGUCAUCCUUCUUCUCGCAGCUCCCGCAACCCGGUGGCUCCCUGGAGCCACCACCUUCAGUGCGCUCAGUUGCUGGGACUCAAGGCUUAUGCCAGUGCAGCUGCAGUUGGUGGUGGCAAUGGCUAGAAACCUCCUCUCCUCCUCUCCCCAAGGCGGCGCCCGGGCCACCCGAGCCGAAGCGCGGAUGGAUCGCGAGUGAAUCGAGACGCCCAGACCGACGCCACGGACAAGAACCUACUGGAGGCCAAGCGGGUUCCGGCCGGCUAGAGGAGAGAGUGAUCCGGAGGAACAAACUGGAACAAACUUGGCUCCCGCAGAUGCUACUCAGAGAGGCUCCAGCUCCGUGUUCAGCCUCUGGGAGGACUGACUAAAGCGUUUGUCUCUCAGAUCUCCUUGAAGGCUCCACGCAAAACAGGGCCAGCUCUUGCUGCCCUCCGCUGCAUCCUACAGCCCAUUCGCUGAGACUGAAGCUCCGGCUGGAAAAAGCAGUCAAGAAGCCCUGGCUUCUACUCUUUGGGGCCAUUAGUGAGGCAUGUCCUUCAGGGAUCAUCCAAACUUAACACCAACAAGAAUGGAAAGAAAGGGCCAGGGCAGGAUAUUGCUUGCCAGGUUUUUGAGGUGUUCUACGUUAUACCCCACCCGUCCCAGAACUCUUCUCUUUACCCAAAUAACUGCUUUCCGGGACCCUCCCCCUCGCCUAGGGGGAGCUGGUCUUUGCUUAAGGCCCAGCAGCCUCCAUCUGUCUCACUGCUUAGCCACCCAGCUUGAGCAGCCUGGAACAAUUGAGAAGAUGCUCCAAGGAGACGGUGUGUCUAUGCCGGGCCUUACAUCCCAAAAUGUUUUUAUAACUGGCCAGGAGUUGUGUCUGUUGUGAAGUAUGUGUGGUUCCUACUGGCUUCCAAGCCAUCUACCUCUCCAGCUUCUCUUAAGAAAGAGCCCCACAGGGAAGCCAUUUUUAUGGAUCUGGAAAGGAAAAGCUCUCCCGGGAUCAUAUGGCUACGUUUAAGUCAGUGGCAAAACUGCUAAGGUACUGAGCUGCUGACGCAGAAGUGUGUCCCUUGACUCAGAAGAACAUAGCCUGAAGUCUUAGAAUCUGGAGCUCAAAGAGCAGCCUGGCAGACCCCAGGCACUUCUAGGCCGUGGAAAGAGGGAGGAGCUAAGCCGAGCAUACCGUGUUCAUGCACUUUUACAAAUUCGUUUACCAACAGGCUAACCUUGGAGAAAGCUGCAGAGCCAAUGCCAGCCCCCUCCCCUGCUCCAAGAGGCCACAGCCCCGUUUUGAGAUUAAAAACAACAAAAAAAAACAGCAAAAAACAACAACAACAACAACAAAAACCAAAACAAAACCACGGCUGCAGCUGCUACAACUCCCAUCUCUAAACCUGCUUUGGAAUCUAAGCUUCCCUUGGCUGGAUUUGGAGGUAGAGACCUGAUUCUAUGCCCACAAAGGUGGGCGUAAGAUGACUGGGAUUCCAGUGUUUGCACCAUCAUUUCAGCAGCCCAAGCCCAGCAGCCUCUGCUCUAUCCCACAGCUAGGAUGACACCCUUUUCCUCUGGUUUCAUCAAUGCUGGCCAAGGACCUCUCUAUUCUCAAAGUAGUGGGAGUCUUGCUUAAGCACCUAUAACCUACUUGGCGGCGGCGGCGGCGGCGGCGGCGGC